AGUGAACGCUGGCGGUAGGCCUAACACAUGCAAGUCGAACGGCAGCACAGUAAGAGCUUGCUCUUACGGGUGGCGAGUGGCGGACGGGUGAGGAAUACAUCGGAAUCUACUUUUUCGUGGGGGAUAACGUAGGGAAACUUACGCUAAUACCGCAUACGACCUACGGGUGAAAGCAGGGGAUCUUCGGACCUUGCGCGAUUGAAUGAGCCGAUGUCGGAUUAGCUAGUUGGCGGGGUAAAGGCCCACCAAGGCGACGAUCCGUAGCUGGUCUGAGAGGAUGAUCAGCCACACUGGAACUGAGACACGGUCAGACUCCUACGGGAGGCAGCAGUGGGGAAUAUUGGACAAUGGGCGCAAGCCUGAUCCAGCCAUACCGCGUGGGUGAAGAAGGCCUUCGGGUUGUAAAGCCCUUUUGUUGGGAAAGAAAAGCAGCAGGUUAAUACCCCGCUGUUCUGACGGUACCCAAAGAAUAAGCACCGGCUAACUUCGUG
rnacentral:rRNA from 1 species